UGUAGAUGUACUGCGAUUUCACGUGUACACUGAACACAUUCUUUUGUGUUUGCUUUUCCACAUAUAUAAAUAAUAUUUUUAACAUCGUUUUCCCGUGACAUGCUGUGAGACAUACAAUUAUAAAAACAGCUUAUUCUUUUUUUUAAAGCGUAGCGGUUAUAUUAUGUUAAAACUUAAACCAAAACGAUACAUUGUGAGAAAUGUCUCGUCAGCUCGUGACAUGCCCCAAUAUGGCGAAGAAAUUUCGAGAUUAUAGUGUUCAGUGAGUUGCAAUUUCCUUUGCAGAGAAAAAGUUCUUAUGCACUCGACCCAUGUACGUUGUCUGAAUUUAUAUAGCUCUCAAGCGCGAUGCGAAAUAAGUUAAUGUUUUUCCAUAGUUAUCUUAUGAAGCAUGAUACAAUAUUUGCGAUGAAUAAUUCUUCGAAUAUAUUAUUGAAAUGAACUUGAUCGGGUCUGCGUUAAGCCGGUAUUGAUUGAUAGAAUCGGAUUCCGUUCUGUUUGCGAUGUUCAUGGUUUGGAUCAUCUGCGGGAAAUUUGUUCGUCUGCACGACACAUGUUUGCAAUUUUACUUUAACGCUGCGUUUAAUCACAUAACUUGCGCCCCAUCUGUCUGGUUUAAACCAGUAUUACCAUGGUAACGGGCCCGUCCCGUCAGAAACCAGGGACGCCUGAGUCAUGAUUUCAAACCGCAUUUCUCUCCGAAGUUGCGAUGUGUAAGAUCAUAUUGAACGGAACAGACACGUUUAUUUGUCAUAAGCGGAUAAAGCUCAACGUCAUUAACAUGCCAAACAAUCACAACAUGCGUUCGAUAUUAAUACACAACAUAAAUGUACAUGUUUAUCAUUUUGAAGGAAGAUCAAUUUGAAUAAACAUGAAAUAAACAUGUUUUCGUGAGAAUUUCACAUGGAUGAGAUUAAUAUUCAGUGACCACAUUAUUUCAAACGUAGUUUAAUAAUCGAAAUAAAUAUAAUAAUAUUAUAUACAUAUUUUCUUUGUGAAAAGAAAUGUUAUGCUAUAUAUAAACAAAUUGUCUCGUAUUUUAAAACUGAAUAUGGCUAGGGUUUUUUUCAGAACUAUUUGUGUGAGUUAAAUAAACAAGAAAAUUUCGGACGGGAUCUAUCAUACUUCAGAAUUAAUGUUUUCCUAACAUCGUGGUGGCGUAAAGAUCGUCGAAGCGUAGAUUGUGUGAAUAGUUGUGUGAAUAGAGGUUGUGAUUGUUCAGCUGUGAACUAUGAUGUCCUUUCGCGCACGUGUCGUGUUCGACUUGUAUUUGUUGUUUAGCAAUUAUGUAAAAAAUGUGAGGACAACGUUUUAGAAAUGUGACGACGUAUCUAUAAAAAUGAGAGGAUAUAGCUUCAGAAAUGCAGGACAAGCUUAAGAAAUGUGAGGACAUUGCUGUAGUAAGUUAUGACUGACUAUUUAAAUGUAAGACUUAGCUAUGGGAAUGUAUGACACAGCUAUAUAAAUGUGAGGGCAUAGCUAUAGAAACGUGAGGGCAUAGCUAUAGAAAUGUGAGGACAAAGCUAUAGAAAUAUAAGGGCAUAGCCAUAGAAAUGUGAGGGCAUAGCUAUAGAAAUGUGAGGACAAAGCUAUACAAAUGUGAGGACAUAACUAUAGAAAUGUGAGGGCAUAGCAAAUGAAAUGUGAGGACAUUUAAAACAAUAUAAAAAUGGGAGAACAUUGCUGUAGAAAUGUCAUGACAAAGCUAUACGAAUGCUUCGUGUUACAAAAACUUUCCAUUAUGUGUGCGAUUAGGAGAAUAUAACAAGGAAGCAGUUGCAAUAAAUGUCAAGUUGUAGCCAGAAAAAGCUUGCACUAUUCUUGGUUGUGAACUCUAACAGCGUAUUUUACUGACACACGGAAGCUACUUCAACGGCUCUGUUGCGAAAUGCACGGGUCCUUGAAUGACAGGUCACACGUGCACUUGCAUAUAUGCUAUUUGAGUGUUAACUUUUGAAAAAUGUCUGCGAUACAAUAGUGCGUGACCGAUAUUUUUCAAUUUUAUAUUCUAUAUCGAUAUCGGACCAGGAAGCAAUCCUGACUCUCACACGCUAUGGUUGUUGCUUUUUGAAAAUCAGCCAUUGCAUUCCUACUUCCUUAUAAAAGUACGACAUAUACACAAUGUACAUGUACCCUAGUCUAGUGUACUUUGUCUCUAAGAUAAUCUUAUAGGGAAGCUGCCAAUAUUGAUCUCAGUAUCUUCACACAUUGAAAUAACAUACUUCGCAAUUUUAGGGUUGUUUUUCGAGUAUGUGUAUUUACAUAAGAUUACAGAAAUAUUCAAAGGUUAACAUGAAAUUGUAUAUAAUUUUUGUGCUUUUUCAUGUUCUGUUGUAUUUUAUAAUUAUUAAUACAUUUAUUAAUGUCUAUUUAUAUUGGGUAAACGCGACGGCAAUGACACUUUUAUCAGAUAUAGUUUAUUCACUGUAAUAAUUAAAGCAUAUAUUUCACUAGGACUUAUAGAUAAAGGCACGAUUUAAUGCGGCCUUAGACCAAACUGAGAUCUGCAUGUUUGUGGAAACAGCUACUCGUAUGUAACAUAUAUCAACAGCAUAAAUAAGCAGAAACCUGUACGACCAUUAUAUAUAAUUGGACCGCGCUCUGUGAAAAGGGGGUUUAAUGCAUGUGCGUAAAGGGUCGUCCCAGAUUAGCCUAAUCAGGGACUACACUUUCCGCCUUUACUGGAUUGUUUGCUAAGAUUAGACUCUGUAAACGGAAAAUAUCAUACAAGCGGAAAGUGUCGUCCCUGAAUAGCCCGAUCGGACUGCACAGGCUAAUCUGGGACGACACUUUACACACAUGCAUUAAAACCCCUUUUCACAGAGCACGGCUCAUAUACUUUUUCGUCGUUGAAUCACGCUGGAGAUAAAUUAACUGCCUAAUUUAACACCAAGUUGCAGUUCUUGACCGGAGAUGUACACACCACGCAAUUAAUAUGCAACAGUUUUUAUACAUGACAUUCCAUGCCACUAAUUUGUCACAAAACUGUUAUUUAACAUGGCCUUCUGCUCAAAUGUCAGCUGCUGUGGUGGAACAUGAGAAAACGUACACUUAACGCAUCGCAGAGUUUACAAUACACCCAACACUUUUUACUUGCUGAUUUGCUCUCAGUAUUGUGCUUAGAAAGAUAGAACGCAGUGGAAAGUAGACACACAUUAUAUUUCUCUAACAUAUUUAUAGUUUCAAUGAAACAUUAUAACAAUCCUCGUUGUUUUACAUAAUCUGAUAAUUUACUUAUGAAAUAAAUUUAUUUAUAUACCACCAUCUGCGAGACAGCCGCGUAACCAUAUUGUACCGUAAUAUUUGCAUCUUUCGGUUUGCGAGAAAAAUGCACGUUCGAUCUGUUGAACUGCUCCGGAACAAAGACGUGCAUUGUUUCAACUGGAGGCUAACGGUAGACACACGCGUCUUUUGUGUAUCCUCCGCGACGAGGGUUCAAUUUACACUUGACUUGUUUUCACGGUACAUUACGAACUGGUGCAUAUCGUAUUUUCUACAGCAUUUCAUUGUACUUCUUAAAUAAUAGUAACACUUUUUUGUAUUUAUACAUAUAAAUGCACUGCGACCAUUGUUAAUACAGUACACUAAUGAUAUGAUUAUGUUGCGUAAUAUAUACAGCAUCCAACGUAUACAGAUUUUCCUAGAUAUGGGGCACUUGUUAUGUCGACUAUACAUUGCUAGUGGAAAUUCGGAUCCAACAUCUAAGCCGUUGCUGCAGACAUCGUCUGCACACAAAUGUCUGUUUUUCUCAUAUAUGACAAAGUUCUGUCAUACGAAAUUCCUAUGAAAUCGAUUAGAUUUAGAGAUGUUGGGCUGCUGAAUGGGAUUUCACUUUAUUGACGAUUCGCGCUUUAAACAGGGUCAGUAUUAUAAAGGCUGGAGUUGGGGGCAUACAUGUUUUACAAACAUUGCUUGUCUAAACACGGAUGUAUUACGAUCAACAGAGCGAUAGCUCGGAAACAUUCCCGUAUUUUACCGACUGACAUUGCUUUUCCAUUAUCUGGAAGUGAUCGAUAAUAUUGUAUGUGAUGAUUUAUCUAUGUUUUCUACGAUUGCAGUCUGCAGACUUCGUGUAUCAUGUAUAAUGGUUUUCUUGCCAAAGAGAUAUUUUCUGGCAAUGAUAAAAUCGUAUGAUUCUGAAAUAUAAAAUAUGUACGAUACUAUUGGAACUAUUCACAAUGAUUUUUCGUUAUGUAAAACUGGAUUGUUAUAAAAGCUAAUAUCACGAAGAACAAUAUUGAGCCUCGCUGCGGGAAAACGGGGCUUAAUGCAUGUGCGGGAAGUGUAAUCCUAGAUAAGCAGGUGCAGUCCGCACAGGCUAAUCAGGGACGACACUUUCCACUUAAAAAAUAAUAUGGAUGACUGCGACCUCGUCACGGUGUAGUGAGGCUCAGUUCCCAGCCACCAGUGCAUGCGUAAUUUAUUAGAAACUAUGUGCGGAAUUUAAGGCAUUCAGACAUAAAUUCGUCAACGGAAAGCAACACUUGCGUGGCUACCGCAUUGCUUCGUGCGCUAAAGACCUACUGCAGUAUGUUUUGGCCUGACGCGAGAACGUGGCACGUUUGUAAAUUCUUUAGUUCAAAAACGCAAUAAAGUUUAAACUGUUUGCAGCGUGUUUUGUUUGCUGUCAUUUUUUGUGUACUAGUGUCUCGCUGGGGGAAAACUGGGCUUAAUGCAUGUGAGUCAAGUGUCGUUCCAGAUUAGCAUGUGCUGUUCAAUUAGGGAUAACACUUUCCACGUGUAUACUAGUAGUAUGUUUCGUUUAAAGGAAGGCUCUUCUUAGCGAAUAUAGUUAAUCCGGAAAGUAGUCCCUGAUCAGCCUGGGCGGGUUACUCAUACUAAUGUGGGGCGACACUUAACGGACAUAAAUUAAUCCACGUUUACAAGAUAAAGGCUCAUUAUCAUGUUGGUGGGUUGCUUCCUGUGUAAAUGUUGAUGAGUUGCUUGAAAUAUAUUCAAUAAUUUUGAAUCGGAUUCCUUUCUCUGCUAUCUUGAUCAUGCAGAUAUAAGGUCACAAAAACUAAAAUCAGGAAAGUGAGACAAUGCAACAAUUAAAACUUAUACAAACUAUUUGCAAAAAUGCGCUCAUUGUAGGGAAUUAUUUCGACAUAAACGGUCACCUGGUUGGCGCAGUGGUUUGUACACGCGUUUCUCAUCAAGGUGACCCGGGUUCAAUGCCCGUUCCUGGCAGCAUGUUAAGCUGGUUGGUGAUCACCAUGCCGGACAGCUGGGUUUUCCUACUGGCACUCCGACUUCCCACCACAACCCAAGAACUCAUCAAAAUUGAACAUAUUUUAGUAACUACUUAAAAGCUGGAGUUUGAAGCUUUAUUGCAAAGUUCGUCCCAAAUUGCGUGCGCCUAGUAACUCAAUUAGGUAGGCGUGCUGGGACUAACUCCGGGCCACAUACUAGUAUAAUGCAGCCUCUGGUGAGGAAAGGCCUUCUAAACUUCAAGUUCACACACACUCGACAUAAACAUGCACAUUCCGCCAAGAUUGCAUUUGAUUAGUUUACUGCAGACGUGAAUUGUUGUUGCGUUGAUGCAAAUCUGUCUGGAAUAAGCGGUAAACCAGACGAUUGGAGUACAAUUUACACAGCAGACUCGAUUCGUAUUUCAUUUGUACGUUUUGGGAGUAUUCAAAUGGUACACAAGCAUUUUUCUGGAAUACUGUGCAUACGAUACAGUUUUGACGUUUACUUAGUAAUCAUCGCACUCGCCUUUCAGUAAUGUUGUGCUAUAAUACAACACCCAAAACACAUAACUUGUAUACAUGUACUUUGAUAAACGUUUAUUAGACUCUUAGAAACCGUGAGUAAGUACAGUAAUAAAGGCAUUUUUACUUUGCGUCCGACUUGUUAUUUACGGUUCAAACACUGACCAGUAUAUAUUUAUGGUAACUAUUUAUACAACUUUCAUAAUUCAAAUACAGCGUUAUCAUAGGACAAACACUGUAAAACAAUAAAUAUUUCACCAGCUUUUAAGUUACCACCGUAAUUGUCGUUUUAUUCGUUUAAUUUCAUACACGUUUCAACACCCUGCGAUUAAACUGUUUCACUAAAGAAUGUGAAGUAAAAUGUUUGAUGCAGUAAAUACUGCCUGCGUGUAACUGUUAUUUCAAUAAAGAUAGCUGCGUAAGUUACUGAGGGCUCGACCGGGACGACAAAAAUCCUUUUCACAACAGCAGCACAUAAUAUCGCGCUAUUAGUGGCAAUAUGCGAAUUGCAGCAAAUAAUAACGUGUUAUUAGUGGCAAUAUGCACUGCAGCACAUAAUAACGCGAUAUUAGUGGCAAUAUGCGAAUUGCAGCACAUAAUAACGUGCUAUUAGUGGCAAUAUGCGAAUUGCAGCACAUUAUAACGCGCUAUUAGUGGCAAUAUGCGAAUUGCAGCACAUUAUAACGCGCUAUUAGUGGCAAUAUGCGAAUUGCAUUUAGCAUCUUGGUAUAAAUUUUAAUCCGAGCAUUCCAGUAGAAGUAAACUGAUAGACGUGUUGUUCUUCUGUUGAUCUCCGCCGUAAGUGCAGCUGUCAGCAAUAUUUCAGUACUCUGGUCCACAAAAACAAAAGCACUUAAGAGUUUUUGUUACAGAAAAAAUAAUAAAAACGCAGCUUUACGAUGUUAUUUUGGGUUUAUUUGAUAACAGAAACUUAGCGAAAAUAACUGGUUUAGCAUACACAUAUAAUAAUAUAUAUGAACCAGGCUCGGGGAAAACCGGACUAAAAGCAUGUGCGCAAAUUAUCGUCCAAGAUUAGCCUAUGCACUCCGCAAAGGUUAAUCGUUGACAACACUUCCCUCCUGAACUGAAUUUUCCCAAAAAAGAUAUCCUAACAACGAAAAACUCCAUUCAAGCGAAAAGUGUAGUUCUUGAUUUGCUAAUUAGAACAGAUCAGCAUGAGCGGACUGCACAGGCUAAUCUGGGGUGAUACUUUACGUACAUGCAUUAAGCCCUGUUUUCCUGGGUGCGGUUCAUAUUUGUCUCAUCAAACAGCCGAUUUUCGACACUGAUUGUUUUCUUAUUGAUAAAUUAGUGUCAUAACUGCCAAUACCGUUAAUUGCGGAGUCCAAAAUAGUAAGACACACUACACCAUUAGAUGGUGUCUGUCCAACCAGCACUAGACAGCUUAGUGUUCGAUUGUUCGAUCACUCAUUAUGAUUCUAAACCAAAAAGGUGUCAUGCAAAAUAGUCAUAACAGGGAUUCAGACAUGUUUUUCUUCUAAUCUAGUGAUUUAAUCACGAUUCUUAUCGAUUUCACGUGAAAUAUGUUUUGAUGGGAUUUUGAGUUCUGAGUAGUGCGCUCACAAUAAAGAAUGUAUACAUAUAUAAGCAUUGCUCUUGACAAACGGGGCUUAAGCCUUAACGCAUGUGAAAGAAUUGUUGUCCCGUAUUCGCCUGUGCAGUCCGCACAUGCUUAUCAAGACGAAACUUUCCACCUUGACUCGAUUUUCGCUGUAAAGAAACUAAUUUUAUACGAAACAUUCCAAAAUAAGCGGAAAGAGUCGUGGUUUCAUAAACCAUAUUUCUUGUUAGAGCUAGAAUAUCGAGUAGAUAGCUGGCUCUGAUACUGUCAAAUAUGAUUGCUAAUUAUCGCCAGAUGGUCAAUGUCCCGAGGUGUUUUCCCUGAACUCUUGGUAUCCGGCUUAUCGGUCGCGUUUUGGUUCCCAUAUCUUGAUCGGCCUUGUUUGUGUCUAGCCUGGCGCGGGUAGUUGAACGCGGGUUGUGUAAAAAUGCCGGUCAUUUUACUUUAGUUGAAAUAUAAGUUAUUUUCAUUCCGAAACACAAGUCUUAAAAUAAAUAAGACACACUCUGCUUUUUUAUGGAUGGAAAUGAAUAUAUUCUCAAGCUGUUGCUGCAUUUGCCACGUCAAGAUCACGGUAUAAAUGUUCCGUUACAUGUGAUACUUUGUCUGACAAGAGAGUUUGAGUCAUAGAGCGACAUAUUCUUGACGUCACAUUCCAAGGGUUUUGGGAAGUGCAAUCAGUUCUUCUAGGGUCUUAUCUUGAUCCUCAACAUUCUGUACACAGUGAUAUGCCGCAGGUUUUCAUGCAGAUAAGAUGACUGAGUCAUUCGCUUUCGAUCUUAGGAUGUUUCUUACAAUGUUUCUUUGGGACCUAAGCUCUGCGUAAUCUCUACGAUGAAUGGUUUGAUAAACCUUAAGCUCAUAAUUACUUUUCUUGAAAAAUCAUGCGUCUAUUUACGACAGCAUGUAAAGAUCAACUGAUAAGCCCCACAUAUGUUAGAAAUGAGCCGAGUUCUGGGAAAAUGGGGCUUAAUGAAUGUGCAUAAAGAGUCGUCCCAGAUUGACCUGUGCAGGCCGUAUUCUAUUAUACAAGAACACGUGAUACAUAGAUAAAUGCAUAUAACUAUGGAAAUCCUUUCCGCUUUGUUGUUCCGUCAAGUUUCAGGUUGUUCUGUCGUUAUCACGCCGUACUUUGAUUAUCGUUUCAGAACAAUGGCAGACAAGCCCGACGUUUCCGAAGUUGAAUCAUUCGACAAGAGCAAACUGAAGAGCGUGGCAACUGCUGAGAAAAAUCCUCUACCAACUAAAGAGG